CUAGGCCACGAACUUAUCAAUCACUGUGUGUGUGUGUAUUUCUUAUUGUAAUUUGUAGUCUUUUUUUAUUAUGUAUUGCUAUGUACUGUGCUGCAAAACAAUCUAUUUCACAACAUAUGAUUAUUUUGUUGCAGGGCUGUGUGAAAAGACAAGGUGAGUGUAAAUUGAUCAGAUAGCUCUCUCAACGUCUGGUUGAGCCAAGAGAUGUUCAAGGGUCACUUUCUGCGGUGUUAAUCUUUACUUGCCCUCUCUGCAGUAUAACUAGAGAGCUGCAUUUAUGUGAGUGCUACGUUCAGUGAUCUGCCUGAACGCGGGGGAAUCAUUACAAACUGGCAGUCACCCACACUCAACAGGGUGAAGAGACAGUGUUCUACAAAAAUCACUGAUACCAAUUCAAGCCCAGAUGACAUCCAAGUGACCUCAGUCAUCCACAGGACAACUACAAGAACUGCUGUGACCUCUACCCUAAUGUUCUGGAAACCGGACUCUAAUCGGAGGAAACCGGCUGCAUCUUUGAGUAUCGGUGUGGUGGUACAAAACGAUUCUUCUCUGCCAGGUCCUCACUGUUCCUGAACUCGACCACUUCGACCUGCUUCAGCGGGACGCUCCACUUCAUGAUCUAAAGCGCCUACCAGAAGGAAGGAGUUGGAACAGGAGAUGUCCGGGGUGUGAUGGGUCUACAAUGAUGCUGCUUGCUCGCUUCCUGACUCUAGAUGCAUUUUCUCUGCCAGCGUUUCCAGCUCAGUCAGAGCCAUCUGGAGUGGGAGCCUGUCGGGAUGUCCCUUUGGAGUGUUCCUCAACAUGUCCUGAGGGAAUUGAUCAAUAAUCAAUCGUCACGCACUGGACACCGGUCAGAAACAGCCCUUUCACAUUUUGGUAACAUUCACAAGAAUCACAAAACAAAUUUAUUACUGAUGUUUUUAUUGAUCUUAAUUAUUUAAUUUAUUAUCAGGAAGCAGGGACUGGUAUAGGGUCUACUGCUGUUUGUCAUAUAUAUUGCUGGCUUUGAGGAGAAUGUGAGGCAGAAGGGUUAGUAAGUCUGCAGAUACACAAAAAGCCUGUGAUACGUUGAAUAGCAAAGGAGGUUCUAAGACACAAGAGCAGAAUGAGGCCCAAAAAAAGUUCGGCCGAUAGAAUCUGCUCCGCCAUUCAAUCAUAGCUGAUUUACUAUCCCUCUCAAACCCGUUCUUCUGUCUUCUUCCCAUAACUUUAACCACCGCCCCUCAUACUAAUCAAGAACUUAUCAACCUCUGCUUCAAAUAUACUAAAAGACUUGAUAUCCACAGCCAUCUGUAGCAAUGAAUUCCACAGAUUCACCAUCUUCUGCCGGAAGAAAUUUCUCCUCAUCUCUGUUCUAAAAUGGUAUGCCUCCUAUUCUGAGACUGUGCUCUCCGGUCCUAGACUCUCCCACUUCAGGAAACAUCCUCUCCACAUCCACUCUAUCCACAACU